UACGGGGGGAGCAAGCGUUGUUCGGAUUUACUGGGCGUAAAGGGCGCGUAGGCGGUCGUGACAAGUCACUUGUGAAAUCUCCGGGCUUAACUCGGAACGGUCAAGUGAUACUGUCGGACUAGAGUACAGAAGGGGCAACUGGAAUUCUCGGUGUAGCGGUAGAAAUGCGUAGAUAUCGUAAGGAAGACCAGUGGCGAAGGCGGGUCUCGUGGACAGUUCCU
rnacentral:rRNA from 1 species